CCAUGAUGUCAUAAUGAUAGUUUAACCAGGUUUCUAGGCUAUAUAGUAUAUUCUAGAAUUCAUCCCUGAUGUCACAAUGAUAGUUUAACUUGAACCCUAUCCCUUAUGGGCGUUGGUCAACAGUAGUGCACUGUAAAGGGAAUAGGGUGCCAUUUGGGAGGCAUAUUAGGGCUGAGGAAUGUACCGCUGCACUGCACAGAUACGCGACUGCCAUUACGGAACCGUUACAUUUAUAGGCAGAGAAGACUGUGCUGUACUGUAGUGGUUCUCAAACCUCUCCUCGGAGACCCCCAGACCUUACGUCAUGUCCACUGUUCCUCCCCCAGGGACUCUGAGUUCUCUCCCAGGUCGAUGGAACCUGAGGACCCCCCCAUCUUCCCUCUCCCUGGUACUCCAACCAGCCCAGACCCCACCAGGCCUCCAGGCCCCCCAGGCAGCCUUCCUCCCCCGUGCCCAGGGUAGACCUCCAUGGAGCUGGA